GUUGCGGUAAAAAGCUCGUAGUUGGAUUUCUGUUGAGGACGACCGGUCCAUACCACGUAUGCGCAUCUGGCUCGGCCUCGGCAUCCUCUCGCGAAACGUUUCUGCGCUUGAUUGCGUGGAGCGGGUCUCGGGACUUUUACUUUGAGGAAAUUAGAGUGUUCACGGCAGGCUAUCGCCCGAAUACAUUAGCAUGGAAUAAUACUAUAGGAUUUCGCACCUAUUUUGUUGGUUUCUAGGCGUGAAAUAAUGAUUAAUAGGGACAAUUGGGGGCAUUCGUAUCAACACGUCAGAGGUGGAAUUCUUGGAUUGUGUUGCGACGAACUACUGCGAAAGCAUUUGCCAAGGAUGUUUUCAUUGAUCAAGAACGAAAGUAAGGGGAUCGAAGACGAUUAGAUACCGUCUUAUUUUUUACCAUAAACUAUGCCAACUAGAGAUGGGGCAUCGUUCACUUACGACUUGCUCCGCACCUUAUGAGAUAUCAAAGUCUUUGGGUUCCGGGGGGAGUAUGGUCGCAAGGCUGAAACUUAAAGGAAUUGACGGAAGGGCACCACCAGGAGUGGAGCCUGCGGCUUAAUUUGACUCAACACGGGGAAACUCACCAGGUCCAGACAUAAUAAGGAUUGACAGAUUGAUAGCUCUUUCUUGAUUUUAUGGGUGGUGGUGCAUGGCCGUUCUUAGUUCGUGGAGUGAUUUGUCUGCUUAAUUGCGUUAACGAACGAGACCUUAACCUGCUAAAUAGGAGCACCUAUCUCCGGAUAAGUGCCUUUCGUCUUAGAGGGACUUUAUGCGUUUCAGCAUGAGGAAGUUUGAGGCUAAAACAGGUCUGUGAUGCCCUUAGAUGUUCUGGGCUGCACGCGCGCUACACUGAUGCGUUCAACGAGUGUACAACCUUGCUAGACAUAGUUGGGUAACCUUUUGAAC
rnacentral:rRNA from 1 species